rnacentral:ncRNA from 1 species
CGGCAAAAUGGAUCCGUAACCUCGGGAAAAGGAUUGGCUCUGAGGGCUGGGCACGGGGAUCCCAGUCCCGAACCUGUCAGCUGCCGGUGCACUACUCGAGCUGCUUCCGCGACGAGAGCGGGUCGCCGCGUGCCGGCCGGGGGACGGACUGGGAACGGCUCCUUCGAGGGCCUUCCCCGGGCGACGAACAGUCGACUCAGAACUGGUACGGACAAGGGGAAUCCGACUGUUUAAUUAAAAC